UUGCUGUCACUGGCAGCACAUAAACUAAAAAUAGAGCAAUACAGAGAGAUUUUCAUAGUUCCUGCCCGAAGAUGACAAGGACAUUUGUGAAGCAUUCUAUAUUUAC
rnacentral:snRNA from 1 species